rnacentral:rRNA from 1 species
UACGGGGGGGGCAAGCGGUUGUUCGGAAUUACUGGGCGUAAAGGGCUCGUAGGCGGCCAACUAAGUCCGACGUGAAAUCCCCAGGCCUUAACCUGGGAACUGCGUCGGAUACUGGAUGGCUUGAAUUCGGGAGAGGGAUGCAGAAUUCCAGGUGUAGCGGUGAAAUGCGUAGAUAUCUGGAGGAAUACCGGUGGCGAAGGCGGCAUCCUGGACCGACAUUGACGCUGAUGAGCGAAAGCUAGGGGAGCAAACGGG